AACGAACGCUGGCGGCAUGCCUAACACAUGCAAGUCGAACGAGACCUUCGGGUCUAGUGGCGCACGGGUGCGUAACGCGUGGUAACCUGCCCUUAGGUUCGGAAUAACUCCCCGAAAGGGGUGCUAAUACCGGAUAAUGUCUUCGGACCAAAGAUUUAUCGCCUUUGGAUGGGCCCGCGUUGGAUUAGCUAGUUGGUAGGGUAAAAGCCUACCAAGGCGACGAUCCAUAUCUGGUCUGAGAGGAUGAUCAGCCACACUGGGACUGAGACACGGCCCAGACUCCUACGGGAGGCAGCAGUGGGGAAUAUUGGACAAUGGGCGAAAGCCUGAUACAGCAAUGCCGCGUGAGUGAUGAAGGCCUUAGGGUUGUAAAGCUCUUUUACCCGGGAUGAUAAUGACAGUACCGGGAGAAUAAGCUCCGGCUAACUCCGUG
rnacentral:rRNA from 1 species